rnacentral:rRNA from 1 species
AUUGAACGCUGGCGGCAGGCCUAACACAUGCAAGUCGAGCGGAUGGAGGGAGCUAGCUCCUGGAUUCAGCGGCGGACGGGUGAGUAAUGCCUAGGAAUCUGCCUGGUAGUGGGGGAUAACGUCCGGAAACGGGCGCUAAUACCGCAUACGUCCUGAGGGAGAAAGUGGGGGAUCUUCGGACCUCACGCUAUCAGAUGAGCCUAGGUCGGAUUAGCUAGUUGGUGGGGUAAAGGCCUACCAAGGCGACGAUCCGUAACUGGUCUGAGAGGAUGAUCAGUCACACUGGAACUGAGACACGGUCCAGACUCCUACGGGAGGCAGCAGUGGGGAAUAUUGGACAAUGGGCGAAAGCCUGAUCCAGCCAUGCCGCGUGUGUGAAGAAGGUCUUCGGAUUGUAAAGCACUUUAAGUUGGGAGGAAGGGCAGUAAGUUAAUACCUUGCUGUUUUGACGUUACCAACAGAAUAAGCACCGGCUAACUUCGUG